UACAGAGGGUGCGAGCGUUGUCCGGAAUCACUGGGCGUAAAGGGCGCGUAGGUGGCGCGACAAGUCAGUGGUGAAAGUUCGACGCUCAACGUCGAAUCGGCCACUGAUACUGUUGGGCUUGGGCACUGUAGAGGCUAAUGGAAUUCCGGGUGUAGCGGUGGAAUGCGUAGAGAUCCGGAAGAACACCGGUGGCGAAGGCGGUUAGCUGGGCAGUUGCUGACACUGAGGCGCGACAGCGUGGGGAGCAAACAGG
rnacentral:rRNA from 1 species